UACGGGGGGGGGCAAGCGUUGUUCGGAAUUACUGGGCGUAAAGGGUGCGUAGGCGGCUUUCUAAGUUGGAUGUGAAAAACUAUGGGCUCAACCCAUAGCCUGCAUCCAAAAACUGGAGAGCUUGGGGUUCUGGAGGGGGAAAGCGGAAUUCCUGGAUGUAGCGGUGAAAUGCGUAGAUAUCAGGAGGAACACCGGUGGCGAAGGCGGCUUUCUGGACAGAUAACCGACGCUGAGGCACGGAAAGCCUAGGGGAGCAAACAGG
rnacentral:rRNA from 1 species